rnacentral:rRNA from 1 species
UACGAAGGGGGCGAGCGUUGUUCGGAAUUACUGGGCGUAAAGGGCGCGUAGGCGGCGAACCAAGUCAGAUGUGAAAGUCCUGGGCUUAACCUGGGGACUGCGUCUGAUACUGGUAGGCUUGAGUGCAGGAGAGGAACGCGGAAUUCCAGGUGUAGCGGUGAAAUGCGUAGAUAUCUGGAGGAACACCGGUGGCGAAGGCGGCGUUCUGGACUGCAACUGACACUGAGGAACGAAAGCCAGGGGAGCAAACGGG